UGCUUACACAUGCAGUCGAACGAACCUUCGGGUUAGUGGCGGACGGGUGAGUAACGUAAUCUGCCCUCAGGAGGGGGACAACAGCUGGAAACGGCUGCUAAUACCCCAUAUGCCGCGAGGUGAAAUGAAUUUCGCCUGAGGAUGAGCUCGCGUCUGAUUAGCUAGUUGGUGUAGUGUAAUGGCUCACCAAGGCAUCGAUCAGUAGCUGGUCUGAGAGGAUGAUCAGCCACACUGGGACUGAGACACGGCCCAGACUCCUACGGGAGGCAGCAGUGGGGAAUUUUCCGCAAUGGGCGAAAGCCUGACGGAGCACGCCGCGUGAGGGAUGAAGGCCUCUGGGCUGUAAACCUCUUUUAUCACGGAAGAAGAUCUGACGGUACUUGAUGAAUAAGCCACGGCUAAUUCCGUGCCAGCAGCCGCGGUAAUACGGGAGUGGCAAGCGUUAUCCGGAAUUAUUGGGCGUAAAGCGUCCGCAAGGCGGCCUUCAAGUCUGACUGUUAAAAAAGGUGGAGCUUAACUCCAUCAUGGCACAGUGGAAACUGUUUGGGGCUUGAGUGUGGCAGGGGCACAGAGGGAAUUCCCGGGUU
rnacentral:rRNA from 1 species